rnacentral:rRNA from 1 species
UACGGAGGGAGCUAGCGUUGUUCGGAAUUACUGGGCGUAAAGCGCACGUAGGCGGCUUUGUAAGUUAGGGGUGAAAGCCUGGAGCUCAACUUCAGAAUUGCCCUUAAGACUGCAUCGCUUGAAUCCAGGAGAGGUGAGUGGAAUUCCGAGUGUAGAGGUGAAAUUCGUAGAUAUUCGGAAGAACACCAGUGGCGAAGGCGGCUCACUGGACUGGUAUUGACGCUGAGGUGCGAAAGCGUGGGAGCAAACAGGG